UACAGAGGUCUCAAGCGUUGUUCGGAUUCAUUGGGCGUAAAGGGUGCGUAGGCGGCGCGGUAAGUCGGAUGUGAAAUCUCGGAGCUUAACUUCGAAACUGCAUUCGAUACUGCCGUGCUUGAGGACUGGAGAGGAGACUGGAAUUUACGGUGUAGCGGUGAAAUGCGUAGAUAUCGUAAGGAAGACCAGUGGCGAAGGCGGGUCUCUGGACAGUUCCUGACACUGAGGCACGAAGGCCAGGGGAGCAAACGGGG
rnacentral:rRNA from 1 species